CAGAGAGCAGCAGAGCAGAGCAGAGCAGACCGAGGGAGUCGGUGACUAACACAACUGUAAGAGUAGUAGAAAGCCGCGGAUAACGGCAGAGACGUCCGUAGGUAGACCCGGUAAUCACGAGCGAACCCAAGUUACAAGCCGUGAGCCGAGGAGGAAAUCCCCUUUGGAAAGCCAAAUGUAUGAAUCUCCGCAGUUUUCUUGCUCUGUUGACCCAAACACUGCACAAUGACUGAGGAAAACACAGAUUUUGUAUGAUCAACGGCCAAUCGCAGAGUGACAGAGCCAUCGCAGGAUCUCAGUCAGAAGGAUCACCGAUUUCCAGCUUUUCCAGUAUAAAGAAUGAGCUCCUUCCAAGCCACCCACUGCAGCGGCCCGAAAAAAUAUCCAGCGUCUGCCGUUCUUACAGAGUUCAAACCUGGCUCUGGAUACGCUGCAAGGCAGCGACGAGGCCAUCGGCUUUGAGGACAUCCUGAACGAUCCAGCUCAGAGUGAAAUGAUGGGCGAGCCACACAUGAUGGUGGAAUACAAACUGGGCCUGUUGUGAAAGAAGAUGCGCACACACACACACACACACACACACACACACACACACACAAAAACACAAGUACACACAAAGAUUCAUUUAGCAUUCAGUACUGCUUUUGUUCUUGAAUUUCUAA